CACGUAGUUAGCCGUGGCUUAUUCAAGGGGUACCGUCUUCUGCUCUUCCCCCUUAAAAGAAGUUUACAACCCGAAAGCCUUCUUCCUUCACGCGGCGUUGCUGGGUCAGACUUGCGUCCAUUGCCCAAUAUUCCCCACUGCUGCCUCCCGUAGGAGUCUGGGCCGUAUCUCAGUCCCAAUGUGGCCGGUCAACCUCUCAGUCCGGCUACUGAUCGUCGCCUUGGUGGGCCGUUACCUCACCAACUAGCUAAUCAGACGCGAGGCCAUCUUUCAGCGAUAAAUCUUUGGUAUCAGUACCAUGCGAUUCCGAUACAUCAUGCGGUAUUAGCAGUCGUUUCCAACUGUUGUCCCCCUCUGAAAGGCAGGUUCCUCACGCGUUACUCACCAGUCCGCCACUAAGCAUUCCCUUCCGUUGUCCGAAAACUCCUUCAGGGGUGCUCCGUUCGACUUGCAUGUGUUAAGCACGCCGCCAGCGUUCGUCCUGAGCCAGGAUCAAACUCU
rnacentral:rRNA from 1 species